rnacentral:rRNA from 1 species
UACGUAGGGGGCGAGCGUUGUCCGGAUUUAUUGGGCGUAAAGAGCUCGUAGGCGGCUUGGCAAGUCGGGUGUGAAACCUCCAGGCUCAACCUGGAGACGCCACUCGAUACUGCUAUGCUAGAGUCCGGUAGGGGACCACGGAAUUCCUGGUGUAGCGGUGAAAUGCGCAGAUAUCAGGAGGAACACCGGUGGCGAAGGCGGAUCUCUGGGCCGAUACUGACGCUGAGGAGCGAAAGCGUGGGGAGCGAACAGG